ensembl:lincRNA
AAUGUCAAGAUUCGCCCCGCAACCUUUGUUUUCCAGUAUGGGAUCUUCCCUGGCUACGGUCGGUAGGGGGCGUAGGCGCGCCGGCCCGGCUUCCGAGCGCCAUCCGCGCCUGCUAACCUAUCCCUCGGCGUUGGUAGGUGUUGCAGGCCGGCGCGGUGAACAAGCAGGGCGACAGCAUUCUGUGCCGCUGAGCCGCGCGGUCCAGGUGUGCAGCCGCCUGAGCCCGAGCCAGGAGCUCUAGAGAGGGAGGGGGAAGAGCAGACGGUAGAGGAAAAGCCACCGGAGGAAAGGAAAAAAAUUAAAUCAGCAAAUCUAGAAACGUUUUCGCUCGUCAUUCCAAGAGAGGGGGAGAGGAAAAAACAAAACAAAACAAAAAACUUUCAUCUUUUUUUUUUUGCACGUUCAUAAACCUUUUACAUACGUAUUCUCUUUUGUCUCAUAACCGCUGUGAAUUGUACAUUUCUGUGUUUUUUGGAGGUGCAGUUAAACUUUUAAGCUUAAGUGUGACAGGACUGAUAAAUAGAAGAUCAAGAAUAAACCUUUAGAAGGCUACUUUGUGACCAAGGAGCGCAAUUUUUGUUUUGAAGCUUUACUAAUAUACCCCAGAGCAUUGUAGAUAUUUUUUUUUUUGCAUCUAUUGUUUAAAAUAGAUGAUUAUAAUGGGGCAGGGAACUUUCUUUUCUCUGCAAGAAUGUUACAUAUUGUAUAGAUAAUUGAGUGACAUUUCAUACCAUGUAUAUAUAUAGAGAUGUUCUAUAAGUGUGAGAAAGUAUAUGCUUUAAUAGACUACUGUAAUUAUAAGAUAUUUUUAAUUAAAUAUUUUUUGUAAAUAUUAUGUGUGUGUUUUUUUAAUCUAUGCGAAUAUUUCUUUUGGAAAAUAAUUUUUCAGCUCAAUUGGAGAGCUGUUGAUAUCGUGAAUGUCUUUUCUGUUUGACUUUGUUUUUAAUUUGUUUUUGUUUUGCCCAGAAUCUUAGACUCGGAAGUAAAAGUGAUAGGUAGUGUGAUCUUGCAUGACGGCAUGAGAUGUUUAAUCACAAAUAAACUUGUUCGGAGUCCAUUCAAAUGUGCUUUCUUUAACUUAGCUUGAAAUCUUUGUAUUUGAAGUGCAUAUGUUGAAAACAUACCAGUUUUUAAGUGCAGGGUUUUAUAGUGUAAUAUAUAGAGUGUUGAGGGGUGGUUUUUUUUUUGUUUUGUUUUUUGUUUUUAACUGAGGUCAAAAUGGAUUCUGAAUGACUUUGCAAAUAGAAUGGGAAAAUGCUUGGAUCCUUAAGGAGUUUACAAAAUCUGCUGUUUUAUCAGAGUGAAAAAAAUUGCUUGUCACUCUUCAGUUUACACUAACGUAUAAUGUCACAAAGUUUCAUAUCUGUACAGGUUAUUUAAAUCAUACAAAUGAAAAAUAUUCUCUGCUUGCUACCAAAGGACAGACUCUUGGAAAUGAACAUUUUCUGCUUUCCUUCCUCCAAAGAAUAUUAAUUAAUAGGCAACAGUGGGAGAAAAAAAGGCAUAAUGGCAAGUCCUUCAAGCAGGGAUAAAAGAUCUUCAAACAUUAAGUAGACCAAAAAUUCUGAUGACCGCAUCUAGAUUAUUUUUUUAUGAAAAUGAUUUUCACUAUAGCUGUCAGUUACUGCUAAGCUACUGUCCAACCUCUUGUGAUGUGUAACUUUUACAUGUGAGAAUUAAAGUAGAUUUAUCUGCCUUGUACUGUGAUUUCUGGUCUUUUUUUUUUUUUUUUUUUUAAACCUUGAAACAUUUUUAGGACCCUUCACAAGAAAGGCGAUAUUGUCUAGGUUAGAUAAGACCAUCAGGGUUUGUGAACAUUACACAUUUAAUAUGUUGGGUACUUUACACACCAGCUAGAUGGAAUUUUUAGAGUAAAGGAAUUAAGUAGGAUUUAAUUGGGUGCUUUCUAAAUAGUCAACUGUGUGUGUAAUGUGUUCUGUUUGGUUUUUAAGAGGAAAGGAUUUGUUUCAGAUUAUACAAGAAUAAAAGUAUUAUAGACCCAAGGGACUUUUUAUGAGGUCAAAGUCAAAUAUUUAUUUGAAUAUGAAAUAUCAUGGUCCCUAGUAGUCCGCUGAAGUGGCGAGCCUGAAUAGAAAUGAACAGAGUUAAUGUUAGAGGUUGAGAUCAGUCAGAGCAUUUCAGCAUAUCUGCCCCCACUCCCGUUAUAUUUUCUCCUCGGCUCUAUUUUACUGAUCUUGAAUUUUUAGAAUGUUCUAUUUGAUGUUGAACCUUACAAAGUUAAAGGAAUGCUUAUUUAAAUGAGGUUUAUGUUUAUUUUUUGAUAUUAUUCAUUCUUGUCACAUAUCAAGAAGAAAACACUAGAACACUGCUGGAAUUCCAAAUCUGAAGAAUUCUAACGAUUGCAUUCUUUGUUAUUAAAAAGGGCACAAUUCCUCCUUUUUAUUUGGCAGUUUAAUUUCAGUAGGAAGCAUGUCACGUGUGCACUGUUAGUUGGCACAGUGCUUUGUCAUGCCUGACUGCUGAACCCUACCUAAGUCUUUGAGCAGAGUUUAAAACUCACACUGGUGGGCUGUUAACCUCAAAACAAGAGAUUAGAUACAUUUGAUUUUUGAAGAUGAAUGUUGCUCCUUAAAUUUAUCUUGGAGGUGUGAAAAUCCAUUGGAAAAUAAGUGUUACAGAUACUGGUUUCAGAGAGUUGGCAUUUUACUUUUGGCCAUUCAAGCAGCAUUUGAUGUCUAAAGAAACAAAACUAGUUUGUAUUUUUAAAAAAUUACACGUAUAUGAUAGUACAUUCAAGUAACCUGUUGGCUAUAUCCUUUAAGCAGCCAGAUAAUAGAAACAUUUUGUCUUAUUCCAGUUAUUUAGAUACUAAGUUUCACAAAGAAAAAAAAAUCCUCAUUUCUCUCAUUUAAUUUGUAGACUUUCACUGCAUAGGCACGACCAAAGAAUAAGACUCAUUUAAAGUCCCACAAGGAAAAUAGAAAACAAGUAUCCUACACAGCGGAUGUUAUUUCUAAGGUGGUUCUAAAAUUCCUGACAUCUCAUAUUAAAAAGAGAAAAAAUAAUUUUUCAUUUUAAAGAGCUAGUAUUACUUUGAUAUUGUAUAAAUCCUACUCAAGUUUAUUGUCGAGCUUUAACUGCAUUUUUAAAACUUUUGAAAUUUUUGGCCCCCGGAAUCUGUUGUAUUAGAUGCCUUCUAUAACAAUAAAUCUUCACUGAUCAAAAGGUUCUGAAGU